AAGAAGUAUUGGUUACUCUUUCGUGAAAGAAGAUACCGGCAACGAAAGCAAUUGGUACGGUCCUGUCCGAAGUUUGCCGAACAGAGUCGAGGAUGGCCGAUCUUGGUGGAGGCCCGUAGCCAUGUGUUGCGGUCUGCCGUGAGUGCUUUCUGACAAGGGAGGUGCGGUGUCUGCGUUUUUUCUUUACUCGUCGCAGCCCAGAAAAUCGGGAUUUUUCGAAUAAACAGAGUAAGGUACGUGCAACCACGGCACCCUCGGUGUAGUAUCGAUAAGAUUCGAGAGUGUCCAAGCGGAGGGGGAAUCGAAUAUUUAGAAAAGAAAGUGUAUAUUUCUCGCGCGGCGUCGGCCGAACGAGACGACGAAGAAGGAGCUCUGCUUCGUCUCCCAAUGUACACACGGGUCUACGUUCGGUAUGUGUGUUUGUUUGUGAGUGUGCACGAUCGAAACGGACAGCACCGAUCCGAAGCAGUUGAAGACCGGUAGACGUUCACGUACGCAGCCACUGAGAAACACAGAGAGAGGCAUCGAGUGGAAACGAAGAAAGAGAGAGUGCGCAUGAUAAUCGUAUCCUCGAUAGCUGCCAGAUAGAGACGCACAGGGUGCUGCGUGCAACUUCUCUCCUUUAUACGUUACACGUAUAUAUGCAUACACAUACGUGCACACAUACAUAUAUAUAUAUAUACAUACGGAACACGUACACGUAGCGCGCAUACACACACGCAGACACGUAGGCAAAACACGUACAAACACGCACGCGACGCAUGCACGUAUUAUAUUCUUUCGUUCUCACUCUCAUGGAUGCUCUGUGCUCCUUCCUUUCCCUUUUUUCAUCCUAGUGUCUCUAUCUCUCGAUAGAGCUCCAGCUCGGUGUCUCUCCUCUUGCGUUUGUAGUAGAAUGAACACGCGAGCAAACAACAAACGAACGAAUGCGCACGGGCAUGUUCGGCUCUGUGUUAGUAUUAACGUCCCGUUCGUUGUGUUUUGUGUAUUCUGCUUGUAGCAAAUGUCGCCCGGACGUAUCCUGACUGUCCGCAAAAGUGGAAGAAGAGAAGGAGGCAGCUAUCGAAUCUGCUAUCGGUGCCUGCGAGUGUUGGUCGCGUAAAAGGUGAAUUCGUAUAUACGAUGUACGCGUCCUCGGACUUCAGGAAAGUGCUACGUACCGCUCGUUCCUUCAUCUUGUGUUUGUGUUUAUCGAAUGUGAGGAAAAGUAGUGCACGAUCACGGUGCGUACGUAUCUACCCGCUCGAAAGCUAAAAAGAAUCUUAGCCAGGAGAAUACAGUGGCGGACGCGUCGUAACAUCAGAGGGGGAAAAAAAGGGAGAAAGAAACACGGAGAAAAAGACAAGGUGAAAUGAGUGAGCGAGAGUGAAGGUGGACAAGGUACAUACAACGUUCAUGUACACACACAAAAACACACACACACCGGUUAUAGUUAACGCUACUACCGAAAAAGAAGAGGAACGCCGCGUAGCGUCGCAUGGAUAAUCGAGCCUGUACACUGUACACGAUGCAAAGUGCGUACAGCAGAGAAUACCUGUGUGUCUGUGCGUGCAUACGCGAGCGUAAGCGCGGCCGCCUGUGUAUUUAAACAGUGUGUAUCGAGAUCUGGUUGAGUGAUCCGUCGUUCCUAGUGUGUUCGUUUAUGCGUGAUUAUGUAGGUGCGUGGGAACGAGGUCGCGAGGUGAAUUUACUACGCGCCACGGGACACUCGAUGAUAAAUACCGGGAAAUUCAUCGCAUCUUCUCCUUCGAGCUGGGAUUACCACUUGGGAUGCAGCACUUUUCGAUAAAUUGAUUACGAUCGAUAACACAAGACGGUCACCGAUGAAACAAAAGAAAAGAAAGAGUGGAUUCUC